CUUUGGUUGAUCCAAGAGGAUUAGAUAUUCUUCAGAUUCAGCUCCAUCUGAUUUCAAGACACAAUAGCUGGAAUCUCAUAAACCAGGCCUUAAGUCUAGAACUGGAUUAUGAUUUUUGCAUAAAAACGGAAUGGACCAUAGAGCAGGAGCUGUGAUGUUUCACCAGCCAGCCUGGCACAGCUGCACUACAGAUGUGCUGUGUGCCAUUCUGCUGGAAUAAAUUUCCCACACUCUAAAGGAGACCAAGACUACAACUGGCAGAGGGAGAAACUCGGAUUCCCAGUGGGACAUACAGAAUUUACUUCAUUGCCAAUAAAGCACCUGAGACAUUGGAAGCUGGAAAACAUCACAAGCAUGUCUCCCACAUUUCCUAGGAUGAGGAAUUGUGAAGGUUUUUGGUCCAGUGCAAAAACACAUUUGAGGUGAACAAGAGCAGGCUCCUUAACUGUUUUUUCUUAAAUAAAUAAUG